rnacentral:lncRNA from 1 species
GCUUGUAAGUGGGCUCCACUGGGCGCUCAACCUGGCUGAAAUAGCACCAGCAGAGCCUCCCACAGCCUCAUCAGCAUGUUGACAUUCAGUGACUUUUCACACUUCAAAAUCUAAGUGACAAGCUUAUCUCAUCAAAACUACUGCCAUCCUCGAAACCAAAAGACCCUUGGCACAGGUGGCUAAGAAGGAAGAAAAUGUUUCAAAACCGCAGUGAACAUGAGAAAAAAUGGAAAUCAAAAUUAAAAGGAUGUUUGAACUUGAAUUCAUGAUUCUUUACAGGCUUUUCUGUCAUUCAUUCAUUCCUGCAUCAGGCUGCUAGGGAAUUGGGGGC